AGAACGAACGCUGGCGGCAGGCCUCAAACAUGCAAGUCUAGGGGGGGUAGCAAUACCCACCGGCGGACGGGUGCGUAACGCGUGGGAAUAUACCUUUCGGUACGGAACAACUGCGGGAAACUGCAGCUAAUACCGUAUACGUCCUAACGGAGAAAGAUUUAUCGCCGAAGGAUUAGCCCGCGUCCGAUUAGCUAGUUGGUGAGGUAAUGGCUCACCAAGGCUCCGAUCGGUAGCUGUUCUGAGAGGAAGAUCAGCCACACUGGGACUGAGACACGGCCCAGACUCCUACGGGAGGCAGCAGUUGGGAAUCUUGGACAAUGGGGGAAACCCUGAUCCAGCCAUGCCGCGUGAGUGAUGAAGGCCUUCGGGUUGUAAAACUCUUUCGACGGGGACGAUAAUGACGGUACCGUAGAAGAAGCUCCGGCUAACUCGCGCCAGCAGCCGC
rnacentral:rRNA from 1 species